GAUGAACGCUGGCGGCGUGCCUAAUACAUGCAAGUCGAGCGAACGGACGAGAAGCUUGCUUCUCUGAUGUUAGCGGCGGACGGGUGAGUAACACGUGGAUAACCUACAUAUAAGACUGGGAUAACUUCGGGAAACCGGAGCUAAUACCGGUUAAUAUUUUGAACCGCAUGGUUAAAAAGUGAAAGACGGUCUUGCUGUCACUUAUAGAUGGAUCCGCGCUGCAUUAGCUAGUUGGUAAGGUAACGGCUUACCAAGGCAACGAUGCAUAGCCGACCUGAGAGGGUGAGCGGCCACACUGGAACUGAGACACGGUCCAGACUCCUACGGGAGGCAGCAGUAGGGAAUCUUCCGCAAUGGGCGAAAGCCUUACGGAGCAACGCCGCGUGAGUGAUGAAGGUCUUCGGAUCGUAAAACUCUGUUAUUAGGGAAGAACAUAUGUGUAAGUAACUGUGCACAUCUUGACGGUACCUAAUCAGAAAGCCACGGCUAACUACGUG
rnacentral:rRNA from 1 species